rnacentral:ncRNA from 2 species
AUGAUUAGUGUGGGAGAGGACAUUGGACACCGAAGGUACAAAUUAACACUUAGCAAUUGUUAAUGAAAUUCUCAGGUAAAAAAACUGCACUAGGACA